rnacentral:rRNA from 1 species
AUGGGAUUUAUUGGAAAAAUUAAAUGCAACUCUGAAGAUUGGGAUCUCGACGAAGGUAAAGAGUCAGGUAUAACACGUAAGUUUGAUUGUGUUAAAUCUUUUAUGGAUACCGAUGCUUUCCGUGAAUUUAGCACUAAAUAUGGACUUGACUCUGAGAUAGUAGCUUCUUUCUGUGAAUCAUUUGCUACUCAUGUUGAUCUCCCUAAGGAGAAGUGGUUUAAAUAUAAUCCUCCCGUUGAAGUAAAAGUAGUUGCACCUAUCAAAGUUGAAGAAAAGACUAUCACUUACAAUGAUCCUAUUGUUCCUACUGCCUAUGUUGAGAAACCACAUUUCCCUGUUAGAAUAAAGGAUCAUGCUAAAGCUUCACCUGUAGUCAACAAAAGUAAUAUUAGGACACACAAACCCCCUAAGCAAGUUAAAGUUGAACCUAAUAUUGAUAUGGUUAAAGAUUUCUUGGCUGAUAAUAUUGAUGGGCAUGUUAUUUAUUUCUAUGAGGAAACUGCUAGAAUUGCUAAACCUGGUGAUAAAGAUAAACAUAGACCUGUUGUAGGCAUGCCUGUUAUUUCUGUCAAAAUAGGAGAUCAUUGUUAUCACGGCUUAUGCGAUAUGGGUGCUAGUGCUAGUGCAAUACCUCAUUCUUUAUAUCAAGAAAUUAUGCAUGAUAUUGCACCUGCUGAGAUAGAAGAAAUCGAUGUUACCAUUAAGCUUGCCAAUAGAGAUACUAUUUCACCAAUUGGGAUUGUUAGAGAUGUUGAAGUCUUGUGUGGGAAGGUUAAAUAUCCUGCUGAUUUUCUUGUUCUUGGUUCCCCACAAGAUAACUUUGUCCCAUUAUAUUUGGUAGACCCUUCUUGA